AUUGAACGCUGGCGGCAGGCCUAACACAUGCAAGUCGAGCGAGCGGCGGACGGGUGAGUAAUGUAUGGGGAUCUGCCCGUUAGGGGGGGAAAACUACUGGAAAAGGUAGCAAAUACCCCAUACCAUCAAAUGAACCCAUCUGGGAUUGGCUUGUAGGUGAGGUAACGGCUCACCUGGGCGACGAUCCCUAGCUGGUCUGAGAGGAUGUUCAGCCACACGGGGACGGAGACACGGCCAAGACUCCUACGGGAGGCAGCAGUGGGGAAUAUUGCACAAUGGGCGCAAGCCUGAUGCAGCCAUGCCGCGUGUAUGAAGAAGGCCUUCGGGUUGUAAAGUACUUUCAGUCGGGAGGCGUUACCGACAGAAGAAGCACCGGCUAACUCCGUGCCAGCCGCCGCGGUAAUUC
rnacentral:rRNA from 1 species